rnacentral:rRNA from 1 species
UGGGGAAUCUUGGACAAUGGGGGCAACCCUGAUCCAGCGAUGCCGCGUGAGCGAAGAAGGCCUUAGGGUUGUAAAGCUCUUUCGCCCGCGACGAUGAUGACGGUAGCGGGAGAAGAAGCCCCGGCUAACUCCGUGCCAGCAGCCGCGGUAAUACGGAGGGGGCUAGCGUUGUCCGGAAUUACUGGGCGUAAAGCGCGCGUAGGCGGUCCACCAAGUCGGGGGUGAAAGCCCGGGGCUCAACCCCGGAAUGUCCUCCGAGACUGUUGGACUGGAGUUCGGGAGAGGAGAGCGGAAUGCCCAGUGUAGAGGUGAAAUUCGUAGAUAUUGGGAAGAACACCGGUGGCGAAGGCGGCUCUCUGGCCCGCAACUGACGCUGAGGCGCUAAAGCGUGGGGAGCAAACA